AUACAGCGAAACUGCGAAUGGCUCAUUAUAUAAGUUCUCUGUUUAUUUGAUAGUGCCUUACUACUUGGAUAACCGUGGUAAUUCUAGAGCUAAUACAUGCUAAAAACCCCGACUUCGGAAGGGGUGUAUUUAUUAGAUACAAAACCAAUGCCCUUCGGGGCUCUUUGGUGAUUCAUGAUAACUAUACGAAUCGCACGGCCUUGCGCCGGCGAUGGUUCAUUCAAAUUUCUUCCCUAUCAACUUUCGAUGUUUGGGUAUUGGCCAAACAUGGUUGCAACGGGUAACGGAGGGUUAGGGCUCGACCCCGGAGAAGGAGCCUGAGAAACGGCUACUACAUCCAAGGAAGGCAGCAGGCGCGCAAAUUACCCAAUCCCGACUCGGGGAGGUAGUGACAAUAAAUACUGAUACAGGGCCCUUUCGGGCCUUGUAAUUGGAAUGAGUACAAUUUAAAUCCCUUAACGAGGAACAAUUGGAGGGCAAGUCUGGUGCCAGCAGCCGCGGUAAUUCCAGCUCCAAUAGCGUAUAU
rnacentral:rRNA from 1 species